rnacentral:rRNA from 1 species
CGGCUSACCUAGGCGACGAUCCCUAGCUGGUCUGAGAGGAUGACCAGCCACACUGGAACUGAGACACGGUCCAGACUCCUACGGGAGGCAGCAGUGGGGAAUAUUGCACAAUGGGCGCAAGCCUGAUGCAGCCAUGCCGCGUGUGUGAAGAAGGCCUUCGGGUUGUAAAGCACUUUCAGCGGGGAGGAAGGCGUUAAGGUUAAUAACCUCAUCGAUUGACGUUACCCGCAGAAGAAGCACCGGCUAACUCCGUGCCAGCAGCCGCGGUAAUACGGAGGGUGCAAGCGUUAAUCGGAAUUACUGGGCGUAAAGCGCACGCAGGCGGUCUGUCAAGUCGGAUGUGAAAUCCCCGGGCUCAACCUGGGAACUGCAUUCGAAACUGGCAGGCUAGAGUCUUGUAGAGGGGGGUAGAAUUCCAGGUGUAGC